AUGGCUGAGGAUGCAUUAGGAAAAGAGUGCUGCUGUGCACACGAUGGUUUCCAGACGAUUUCUGCACGACAGUGCACAUCCGUUCGUUCAUCCGUAUCAUCAAAGGGUAGCAGACGGCCAGCACUCCCGUCGUGCAGCUGUCGUGCAUGCAGUGGCGGAGCUAAACACGCUUCACUGGGCGGGCCAAAACAAAUUAGCUUAAGAAACACGUCUGUAAUUUUGCUCUUAUGGCCCAAAUUCAGCACCAAUCUACACCGAAUCCUUGUUUGGCUGGGCGGGCCACGGCCCGGUUUUGCCCAGCCUUAG
rnacentral:rRNA from 1 species